AGUGAACGCUGGCGGUAUGCCUAACACAUGCAAGUCGAACGGCAGCACAGUAAGAGCUUGCUCUUACGGGUGGCGAGUGGCGGACGGGUGAGGAAUACAUCGGAAUCUACUUUUUCGUGGGGGAUAACGUAGGGAAACUUACGCUAAUACCGCAUACGACCUACGGGUGAAAGCAGGGGAUCUUCGGACCUUGCGCGAUUGAAUGAGCCGAUGUCGGAUUAGCUAGUUGGCGGGGUAAAGGCCCACCAAGGCGACGAUCCGUAGCUGGUCUGAGAGGAUGAUCAGCCAGACUGGAACUGAGGAACGGUCCAGACUCCUACGGGAGGCAGCAGUGGGGAAUAUUGGACAAUGGGCGCAAGCCUGAUCCAGCCAUACCGCGUGGGUGAAGAAGGCCUUCGGGUUGUAAAGCCAUUUUGUUGGGAAAGAAAAGCAGCAGGUUAAUACCCCGCUGUUCUGACGGUACCCAAAGAAUAAGCACCGGCUAACUUCGUG
rnacentral:rRNA from 1 species